CGAAGGCCCAAGGGCAAUACUACAACGCCUAAAAGCCACGGAGAAAAGAAAAAACACCGCACAUCAGCCCAGACUAGCGUCCAAAGGGGGUAAUUGAGUUUCGGUGAGCCCACAUACGUUCCAACAUCCUCGCCAGGCGUGCGGGUUCCCAUUGCAUGGCCUCCAACAUACUCUGUUGAUGAUCGAAUCCCUCUUCAGCACGAAUA
rnacentral:lncRNA from 1 species